CCAUGUCGCUGUUCUGUUAGUAUUUUGUCUGCAUAUUUAUAUGUCGAUGAAGUGAACUUUGGGUUUCUGUUUGGCCAUCUACUUGCACAAGUGGUAAUAUAAUUAAAUACAUUACCAGAUUUCCUCCAAUGCUGUUCCUAUUUGCUUUGUUGUGUUCGUUCUAUUUUUCUUUUCGAGGAAAUUUUGGAUUCCAGAAUGUGCUGGGUGUUGUUAGUAACCCAGCCUUAUCUUCCAAUCAAAGAAAUUAAAUUUGUGAUGCUGCUUUUGAAAUUUUCCAUAUUAUGUGUUACUCUCAUGUGGUGCCUUCAAUUCCUGAUGAUAACAAGUUAAAUUUGCUUAACAUAAUGCUACCUUUUAGGAUGAAAUUUCUCAGUAGCAUUUACAUGAUAUUGUUCUUUUCAGAUUCAGUGCUUCCAUUUUGUCUUAUGAUUAAUGAGCAUUGUCCUUGACUUCUCGUUAGUGGCGACACUGUGUCGACGGGGAAAAGAAAUUAUGAGUCCAACCCUUUUGCACUAGCUUUGUCUUUGGAAUGUCGACCCAUGAUGAUGUAUUAGUAAUUGGAAGCAAGCCAGUCUUGCUUAGGAGUGAAAAAAUUCCAGUCAUUGCUGUUCGUUAAUGUGUUUUAGUUUCUUUUUUUUUUUAGUUACUUUGUACUACAGAACUUGUUCUGCGAUGGUAUUGUUUUAGUUUUUUUCUUUUUUUUUUAGUUACUUUGUACUACAAAACUUGUUCUGCGAUGGUAAUCACGCAGUGAGAGUGGGAAGAAAAGAGAUUCUGGC